rnacentral:lncRNA from 1 species
UAUUACCGAUAUUUUCUUCCUUGGUCCAAGCCAAUCCCUCCUAAGGAGGUGUAACAAACGUGCUCUUAAGGUUUACCACAAAAAAUCUGUAGUCUAAUUACGAGAAAAACCAUCAAAUAUAAAGUAUUAUUACUUUGUUUUGUCAAGUUUCCGACUAGGAUUGUAUUCUCCAAUAUUAAAUUAUUAUUACUAUUAUUAUUAUUAUUAUUAUUAAUCAUCAUCAUCAUUAUCAAUCUCUACACUAAAUAAUCUGGUACUUUCACGCUCUAUUCACAUGCAAAUUGAUGUGAAAGCGUGAUCAUGAAUCUACACACAUCAGACAAAAAAUUAAUCUCAAACAUUGUGUGUGGGGCCUUAUGAUAUUUUAUUUUUACAAACUUUAACAAGAAGCUUUCGGUUCUAUUCAUUUUAAUGAAAAAGUCACAUUUUUACAUUAAAAAAUUAAUUUUAGUACUAUUCACUUUACUCUUUAUUUUGUCUUUAUUGUUAAAAUUCAAAAUUUUCAAAUAUUUUUCACUAGUUUUCUUUUUGUCCUUUUAUAAACAGGGCCUGAUGAUAUAUAUAUACACACACAUAUAUAUAUAAAGAUUUCCAAUUGGCUGAUCAUAGUUAUUAUCUAUAUAUACAGAUUUCCAAUUGGUUGAUAAAAAAAAAUAAUUGGUUGAUCAUAUUUAUUAUUUUAGAUAAUAAAGAAUAUACGGUGAAGUGUCGAUUUAGUCCCUGAAUUAACACCUCAGUGAAAAUUAGGUCUCUGAAUUAUUUUUUCUGUAAAAUAAGUCUCUAAAUUCAUUAAAAAUUAUUAAUUUCAUCCCUACUAUUAUAUUCAAAGCUAUUUAAUCCAAUUUUUUGUCAACUUAAGUCACUUGAAACACUUUAGAGUGUAAUAUAGGCCUGGCAAUUCCUGACACGACCCGAUAACCCGACACGACACGACACGAAAUUAACA